rnacentral:rRNA from 1 species
UUAAGUCCCGCAACGAGCGCAACCCUCAUCCUUAGUUGCCAUCACGUUUGGGUGGGCACUCUAAGGAAACUGCCGGUGGCAAGCCGGAGGAAGGUGGGGAUGACGUCAAGUCCUCAUGGCCCUUACGGGUAGGGCUACACAUGUGCUACAAUGGCAGUGACAAUGGGAUAAUCCCAAAAGCUGUCUCAGUUCGGAUUGUCGUCUGCAACUCGACGGCAUGCAGGUGGAAUCGCUAGUAAUCGUGGAUCAGCAUGCCACGGUGAAUACGUUCCCGGGCCUU